UACGUAGGGUGCAAGCGUUGUCCGGAAUUAUUGGGCGUAAAGAGCUCGUAGGCGGUUUGUCGCGUCUGCUGUGAAAACCCGAGGCUCAACCUCGGGCCUGCAGUGGGUACGGGCAGACUAGAGUGCGGUAGGGGAGAUUGGAAUUCCUGGUGUAGCGGUGGAAUGCGCAGAUAUCAGGAGGAACACCGGUGGCGAAGGCGGCGACCUGGGUAGAUACUGACGCUGAGGUGCGAAAGCGUGGGGAGCAAACAGG
rnacentral:rRNA from 1 species